GUAACCUGCCCCUGACUCUGGGAUAAGCGUUGGAAACGACGUCUAAUACUGGAUAUGACUGCCGGCCGCAUGGUCUGGUGGUGGAAAGAUUUUUUGGUUGGGGAUGGACUCGCGGCCUAUCAGCUUGUUGGUGAGGUAAUGGCUCACCAAGGCGACGACGGGUAGCCGGCCUGAGAGGGUGACCGGCCACACUGGGACUGAGACACGGCCCAGACUCCUACGGGAGGCAGCAGUGGGGAAUAUUGCACAAUGGGCGAAAGCCUGAUGCAGCAACGCCGCGUGAGGGAUGACGGCCUUCGGGUUGUAAACCUCUUUUAGUAGGGAAGAAGCGAAAGUGACGGUACCUGCAGAAAAAGCACCGGCUAACUACGUGCCAGCAGCCGCGGUAAUACGUAGGGUGCAAGCGUUGUCCGGAAUUAUUGGGCGUAAAGAGCUCGUAGGCGGUUUGUCGCGUCUGCUGUGAAAUCCCGAGGCUCAACCUCGGGCUUGCAGUGGGUACGGGCAGACUAGAGUGCGGUAGGGGAGAUUGGAAUUCCUGGUGUAGCGGUGGAAUGCGCAGAUAUCAGGAGGAACACCGAUGGCGAAGGCAGAUCUCUGGGCCGUAACUGACGCUGAGGAGCGAAAGCGUGGGGAGCGAACAGGAUUAGAUACCCUGGUAGUCCACGCCGUAAACGUUGGGCGCUAGAUGUAGGGACCUUUCCACGGUUUCUGUGUCGUAGCUAACGCAUUAAGCGCCCCGCCUGGGGAGUACGGCCGCAAGGCUAAAACUCAAAGGAAUUGACGGGGGCCCGCACAAGCGGCGGAGCAUGCGGAUUAAUUCGAUGCAACGCGAAGAACCUUACCAAGGCUUGACAUACACCGGAAACGGCCAGAGAUGGUCGCCCCCUUGUGGUCGGUGUACAGGUGGUGCAUGGUUGUCGUCAGCUCGUGUCGUGAGAUGUUGGGUUAAGUCCCGCAACGAGCGCAACCCUCGUUCUAUGUUGCCAGCGCGUUAUGGCGGGGACUCAUAGGAGACUGCCGGGGUCAACUCGGAGGAAGGUGGGGAUGACGUCAAAUCAUCAUGCCCCUUAUGUCUUGGGCUUCACGCAUGCUACAAUGGCCGGUACAAAGGGCUGCGAUACCGUAAGGUGGAGCGAAUCCCAAAAAGCCGGUCUCAGUUCGGAUUGAGGUCUGCAACUCGACCUCAUGAAGUCGGAGUCGCUAGUAAUCGCAGAUCAGCAACGCUGCGGUGAAUACGUUCCCGGGCCUUGUACACA
rnacentral:rRNA from 1 species